UACGUAGGGUGCAAGCGUUGUCCGGAAUUAUUGGGCGUAAAGAGCUCGUAGGCGGUCUGUCGCGUCGAAUGUGAAAACCCGGGGCUCAACCCCGGGCCUGCAUUCGAUACGGGCAGACUAGAGUUCGGUAGGGGAGUCUGGAGUUCCUGGUGUAGCGGUGAAAUGCGCAGAUAUCAGGAGGAACACCGGUGGCGAAGGCGGGACUCUGGGCCGAUACUGACGCUGAGGAGCGAAAGUGUGGGGAGCGAACAGG
rnacentral:rRNA from 1 species